GUGAAAUCAUAAGAAACUAAAUGGCCAAACGUGGAAUUGAACGUAUAAAAGAACACCAGAUCACCGUAUGGGCUGCCGCAUCUGACGUUGUAAAAUUGAUCACAGACUUGGAACUGUUGAUUGAAGAGAGUUCCAUUUGCGCACAAAUGACUGGAGACCA